UAGGCGGAUCACCUGAGGUCAGGAGUUCGAGAUCAGCCUGCCCAGCAUGGCGAAACCCCGUCUCUACUAAAAAUACAAAAAACAUUAGCUGGGUGUGGUGGCAGCCACCUGUAAUCCCAGCUACUCAUGAGGCUGAAGAAUCACUUAAACUUGGGAGGCGGAGGUUGCAGUGAAUCAAGAUCGCGCCACUGCACUCCAGCCUGGGUAACGAGAGCGAAACUCCGUCUCAAAAAAAUAAAAAUAAAAUAAAAUUUAAAAAUUAGCCGUGAGAUGGGCGUAGUGGCUCAUUCCUGUAAUCCCAGCACUUUGGGAGGCUGAGGCUGGUGGAUCACUUAAGUUCAGGAGUUCGAGACCAGCCUGGCCAACAUGGCAAAAGCCUGUCUCUACUAAAAAUACAAAAAUUAGCCAGGCUUGGUGGUGCGUGCCUGUAAUCCCAGCUACUCUGAAGGCUGAGGCAGGAGAGUCCCUUGAACCUGGGAGGCAGGGGCUGCAGUGAGCCAAGAUCGUGCCACUUCAUUCCAGCCCAGGCAACAGAGCAAGACUCUGUCUCAAAAAAAAAAAAAAAAAAAAUUAGUCAGGUAUGGUGGCACGUGCCUGUAGUCCCAGCAAAAGAUUCAUCAAAAACAAAAACAGAACAAAACAAAAAAAACUUCUUGGCACAUAGUAGGUGCUCAAGCAUUGUUAGGUCUCGUUAUUAAUACUGCUAUAGUCCUGCUUCGAUUAACAUCAGGAAUAAAUUCUGAGAGAUGUAUCCUUAGGUGAUUUCAUCAUUGUAUAGAUAUCAUAGAGUGUGCUUACACAAACCUAGGUGGGAGAGUCUGCUACACACCUGUGCCAGAUGAUCUAGCACAGGGGUCUAGGCCAUAGCCCAAAUGCGACCAUCUAUUUAUUUUUUGAGACGGAGUCCCACUCUGUCACCCACACUGAUUUGCAAUGGCACAAUCUCAACUCACUGCAACCUCCGCCUCCCAGGUUCAAGCGAUUCUUCUGCCACAGCCUCCCAAGUAGCUGGGAUUACAGGCAUGCACCACCACACCUGGAUAAUUUUUGUAUUUUUAGUAGAGAUGGGUUUUCACCAUGUUGGCCAGGCUGGUCUCAAAACGCCUGACCUCCAGUGAUCCGUCCACCUCGGCCUCCCAAAGUGCUGUAAUUCCAGCUACUGGGAAGGCUAAGGCAAAAGAAUCACUUCAACCCAGGAGGCAGAGAUUGCAGUGAGCCGAGAUCACACCAUUACACUCCUGCCUGGGUGACAGAGCAAGACUCCAUCUCAGAAAAAGAAAAAAUGUAAGACACAAACACACACACAUCAGCCUAGGCCUAUGCAGGGUCAGGAUCAUCAACGUCACUGUCUUCCAUCUCCACGUCUUAUCCCACUGGAAGAUCUUCAGGGGCAAUAACACCCUUGGAGCUGUCGUCUCCUAGGAUAACAGUGCUUUUUUCUGGACACCUUCUGAAGGAGCUGCCUGAGGCUGUUUUGACAGUUAAUUUUUCCCUUUCCUUUUUUUUUUUUUUGAGGCAAGGUCCCACUCUGUUACCCAGGCGGGAAUGCAGUGGCACAGUCUCAGCUCACUGCAGCUUAUGCCUCUCAGGCUCAAACGAUCCUCCCACCUCAGCCUCCUGAGUAGCGGGAACUAAGGCACACACCACCACACUGGGCUAAUUUUUACAUUUUUUUCUUUUUUGCAGAGACUAAGUCUCACUAUAUUGCCCAGGCUGGUCUCGAACUCUUAGACUCAAGCAGUUAACUUUUCUUUAUAAGUAAAAGGAGUACACUCUAAAAUAACAAUAAAAACUAUAGUACGGUGAAUAAAGGCCGGCCGUGGUGGCUCAUACCUGUUUCCCAGCACUUUGGGAGGCCAAAGUGGGUGGAUCACUUGAGGUCAGGAGUUCGAGACCAGCCUGGCCAACAUAGUGAAACCCCAUCUCUACUAAAAAUACAAAAAGUAUUCGGGCAUGGUGGUGCAUGCCUAUAAUCCCAGCUACUCAGGAGGCUGAGGCAGGAGAAUCACUUGAACUGGGGAGGCAGAGGUUGCAGUGAGCCAGCCUGGGUGACAGAACGAGACUCCAUCUCAAAAAACAAACAAAGAAACCUAUAUAUAGUAAAUAUAUACACCAGUAACAUAGUUGUUUAUUGACUUUUUUUUCUUUUUUGUAGAGACAGGGUCUCACUAUGUUGCAUGGGCUGGUCUCGAACUUCUGGCCUCGAGCGAUUGCCCUACUUCAGCCUCCCAAAGUGCUGGGAUUACAGGUGCGAGCCACCAUGUCCUGCCCGUUGCCAUUGACAGGUAUGAUGUACUGUACACAAUUAUAUGUGCUAUGCUUUUCUAUGACUGGCAGUCAAGUAGGUCUGUGUACACCAGCAUCGGCACAAACAUUAGAGUAACGCCUUGAGCUACUCCAUUAGGACAGCGACAACAUCACCGGGCAAUUGCAGUCUUAGCUCCAUUAUAAUCGGUGGGGCCACCGUCGGACGUGCAGUCUGUCAUUGACAGAAACCUCGUUAUGCUGCACAUGGCUUUAUUCCCUCGGGAGAAUGCUGCGGCCUCAGCAGUAACAUUUCACUGACUCUAAGGCACAUCAUGUCAACAGGUGUCACCAGAAAGACAAGAUGUUGUAACCAAGCGAGUUAGAGAGAAAUGCCACACUUUGAGACAAAUUAUGGAGUCCUUUAUUAGCCAGCGACUGAGAGACAGCUAGCGCUUAGAAUUCUCUCCAUCUCGAAGAAGGGGCUAGAUUCUCUUUUAUACUAUGGUCUAAAUAGAGGAGGGGGAGUUUAACUGAAGUAGUUUUACAGAAGCAGAACAGGCAAAAAGUUAAAAAAUUAAUUGGUUAUGGAAGCAGUUACAAAAAAUAAACAGUUCCAGGUGCAGGGGCUUAAACUAUCACUAAGAGAUAAAUGCAGGGGCUUUUAGGUACCUUCCACCGAGCAGGAGCUGCUAAUACAGGCUGCCUCAAUAUCUUAUCAGCAGGUGCAUUCCUGGAUGUGCUUGGUGUCAGCUUGCACUAGUUAUUCCCUUAAGGGGGAUACGGGGGGCCCCAAGUGAAGAAACCAAAAUGGAGUCUGUCCAGCUCUCUCUGCUAGGAGACAGUCACUCCGGUUAAAACAGGGUAAGGUAUCACAAAGACACAGCCUAAAAAAUGCAAUCCAAUGCUUAUUUUAUUUUAUUUUAUUUUUUGAGUUGGAGUCUCGCUCUCUCGCCCAGGCUGGAGCACAAUGGUGCGAUCUUGGC
rnacentral:lncRNA from 1 species